UGGUGGAUGUGCGAGCUUCGUCGAAAAUGGAGAAAGGUUGUGGUAAAAAUUCUUCUUCAAUGCUUCUUUAUUUUGAAAUGGGUUUGAAAGGGACAAAAACAACAGCUCUUGAGAUUGACGUGUUUGAUAUCAGAUUAAUUCGUAUUGGAAUCAAAGUUAUACGGGUCUGGUGUCAGAUUUAGUACUACAAUUGCAUUGACUUCUUGUUUUUUGGUCCUGCAUUCCAGACAUACACUUGUUUCCUUAGCAAGAGUUCAAAAGCCAUGUUAUAAUAGUCCUCGAGAGUAAACUGAAGCCUACCUUUUCAUACUAUUGCAAAAUGCACCGGCAAGGAAACAUAACCAUCGAUAUACCCAAAGUCGCCUCCAAAGGACCAAAGCCGAAAGAGGUCUAAGUCGGUGAGGUUUGAGGUUUGAGCUUUUAGGAGUCGAUAAAAAUGAAGAAGAAAUAGGGAAGGAAUUAGUGACAAGGGGACAGUUAUCAAACAUAGUAUACCCUUAAUUCAAAACAUAUCGAAUGCAGUUGCUUAAGCAGAGGCUCCCUAUUCUUUUAUGUGAAGCAUGAUUAAUUUGUAAAUUGUGAUCAAACAUGAUAAGAUCUUUUGUGUCCAUGUGAACAAAUUUUUUUAUUUAAUUGUGACCAGUGAAGUGAGAGCUGAAUUAAAUGUGAUUCAUGAACCAUUAUGUUUUGCAUGAUGAGUUUUGGGCUAUUUUGUUUACAUUGUUCUGGAACAGCUGUGGUUUGGUAUUGGCCUUCCUGAUAUUGAUCAGGGUUUCAACUGGAGACAGACUCCAUUAAUUUGAUGUGAUUGCCUCUAAUUUUACGUGAAUGUGAAUAAAUUUUGGAGGUUACUCAUGAUGGGUGAAAUAUUUGUAUGUGACUGAAGGUUACAAAUAGGUUAAGGGAACACUCUGAGUAGACUUUUGAUGAUUCGUACCUUCACUGGGAGUUCAAGUUAUUUAGAGCUCAGCAAUUUAUUUAAAGUAAGGUAGGAAUCAAUGUUCAGUGUUGUUCAUUCACACAGUUUGUUAUGUUUUCUAAAUAAUUGUGUGAAUUGAAACCAAACAAAGCAAACCAGUAGAAGAAGUCCAAGUGCUGUUCUGUUAACAUUACUGGUUUCAGAAGAUCAAUUGGAUGUUGAAUUACUGCUACAGAGUUCAUGCAACUUACACAGUUACUCAGGUUUUGUGUUUUGGAUUAAAGAAGUACUCAGUUCUACUUA